GAAAUGCGAUAAGUAAUGUGAAUUGCAGAAUUCAGUGAAUCAUCGAAUCUUUGAACGCACCUUGCGCUCCUUGGUAUCCCUUGGAGCAUGCCUGUUUGAGUAUCAUGAAAUCUUCAAAGUAAAUCUUUUGUUAACUCAAUUGGUUUCUACUUUGGUAUUGGAGGUCUUUGCAGCUUCACACCUGCUCCUCUUUGUUCAUUAGCUGGAUCUCAGUGUUAUGCUUGGUUCCACUCGGCGUGAUAAGUUAUCUAUCGCUGAGGACACUGUAAAAGGUGGCCAAGGUAAAUGCAGAUGAACCGCUUCUAAUAGUCCAUUGACUUGGACAAUACUUUUAUGAUCUGAUCUCAAAUCAGGUAGGACUACCCGCUGAACUUAAGC
rnacentral:misc_RNA from 1 species